UUGAGUAUUAUGAUUGCAUCAUGGUGUAUCUAUAUGUAUAUUACCCACACAUAAUUAUUGUUAACGCUUUGAAGUGCAAAGGUGAACGCAUGACACCCAAGUAAGUUUAGGUGAGUUUAUGGUAUUAGUUAAAUUGAUGGAGUUAUGGCAUGACUACAUGUAUAUUUUUGUUGGAAAUGUGCCCCUAAAAGCCAAUCAUAUGAUGAUGCUUUACGGACAUUUCACAUGUUAAACUAAUUUAGUGU
rnacentral:lncRNA from 1 species